UACGUAGGGUGCGAGCGUUGCCCGGAUUUAUUGGGCGUAAAGGGCGCGUAGGCGGCCACGCACGUCCGUUGUGAAAUCGCCCGGCUCAACUGGGCGGGGUCAGCGGAUACGGUGUGGCUAGAGCAAGCUAGGGGGCAAUGGAAUUCCCGGUGUAGUGGUGGAAUGCGUAGAUAGUCGGGAGGAACACCAGUGGCGAAGGCGGUUGCCUGGAGCUUUGCUGACGCUGAUGCGCGAAAGCGUGGGGAGCGAGUCCGG
rnacentral:rRNA from 1 species